AAUUACAAAAGGAAAAUAAUCCUACGCUUAAAGGAAAAAUAUAAUGGAAAAUAUUCUAUACAAUAUUUCUAUCUUAAACACCCUUCCCUCAAACUCAAUAUGGUAUAGAAUAUUGAGUUUGAAGAAAUCGAUCCAUUCAAAUCUUCCAAAUUGAUGUAGAAUGAACUCCAAGCACUUGAGGUCUAUGUCAUUGUUGAUGAAGAUAAGUGGUUUCCUGUUUGCUUGGAAGAAAAUAUUUG
rnacentral:lncRNA from 1 species